GGGGCCGAUGGCCGCACGCGCACGCCGCUGAUUGGUGCUGCCGCGGCCCAGGCUUUCUUAAGCCCCAGUUUCGGCACGCAAACCUCCCUCCCUGACUCCUGGGUCUCAGCCUGGACCGGACAUGGAAGCACACAGUACCAGUCAACAACCAUCUCAAGCACCAGGAAGAAGCUGAUUUUACGGAAAGCAGAGCAGAAAUGGGAAGAAGCAGGGUCCACAGUGAUGUAAAGCUACUAAUCAAAACAUUCCCCAAGCCUUCUCUGAACUUCAAGUUAUACAGGCCAGUACAUCUCCUUUAUGAUUUAGAGUUCCAUGUGUCAGGAUGAAAAAUGUCAUCAAUGGGAUCUGAGAUAGGAAAAUACCUUGGUUUUUCCCUGAAGCAGACAGCUAUACUUUGGGUUGAAAAUUUUUGGUUGGAUGCAUCUUUGGGCAUUCCAUAGGACACCAGAGUCAUGGUGAGAGUCUGGAUUUUCAUGACUGGGAUUAGUCCUCAUCUAAAAGAGACUCCAGAGACCGAGUAUAUCUCUUUCACCACAUGAGGACACAAGAAGUUUCCGUCUAUGAAAAAAAUAGAACCUAACCAAACACCAGAUCUGUCGGUGCCUUGAUCUUGGGCUUGUUGCCUCCAGAACUGUGAGAAAUAAAUUUCUGUUGUCUGUA